UCAAAUCGAUGACAAAAGAACCACAGUAGUUCAUCAUAGUACAGAAUGUUUCAGAAGAAAAUGACAUCACGCUCUUACGAGCAUGCGGCACGUGCUCGUUCUUCCGGAAACCUCGAUAAGAGAGAAAAUCUGCUGUUACCUGGAGAGAUGAGGCUUGCACAUCGUUGCUAAUUCCCCGAUUGGAUUAGACUAGUCGUUCCAGCAGACAUUAUUGUCUGACUUCCGUACCACGGUUUGUGAUAAGACUAACAAUUGUACAAAGUGAUGUGAUGAAAAAAUUCUAACCACAACCCUUAGCGUUCACCUGUGCUCUCUGAACAACACCAUUACCAUUUGUUUCUGUAACACAGAUUAUUAUCAAACACAAAAACACGUGAUUAGAAAAAUAAUAUUCUAAACUAACUGUGUUUCACCUGAGCAAACUAUCUGUGCACAAACCAAAAUCUUUACUUAAGUUAACGGGGAAAGUUAGAAAAACUGAAAGCUAGCUAUAAAUUCCCGCAAUGCCUAAGCAAUUAUAAAUGACGCAUUCUUUAGUAUAAGCGUUUUGAUAGAUUUUAUUUAUAUACAAUACGUGUAAUGCAGUCUUCUUUAGUUUUCAGUUCCAUCUGUUUCAGUUUUUACUACAGUGCAGUUUUAGUCGAAGAUAGUUAAUGUUUCACAUUCCGAAUAUUGUACAGUGAUAACCAGGUGCUAAUGAGUGGUCAUAGUGUGGAUGAUGAGGUGCUAGUGAGUGGUCAUAGUGUGGAUGACCAGGUGCUAGUGAGUGGUCAUAGUGUGGAUGACCAGGUGCUAGUGAGUGGUCAUAGUGUGGAUGACCAGUUGCUAAUGAGUGGUCAUAGCGUGGAUGACCAGGUGCUAGUGAGUGGUCAUAGUGUGGAUGACCAGGUGCUAGUGAGUGGUCAUAGUGUGGAUGACCAGGUGCUAGUGAGUGGUCAUAGUGUGGAUGACUAGGUGCUAGUAAGUGUUCGUAGUGUAAACAUUCGUCUUCAGGAACCGAAUAAAUAAAUAUUUUAUUUUCGUCUGAUUUUCAUCUUCUUGUUCAUUUUUACUUUAGUUCUAUAUUUCAUUCCAUCUUCAACUUUACUUGCAUACACCGCUAAGUCCUUCAUUUUCACGAUUAUCCAAAAAGCUCAUAGUGCAAGCUACAAAGUUAUUUUAAUGCCACGAACGGGGUCGAAAAAGUGAGUUAGCUGAGUAAUGGGUGGUCCACUCUUCCGACUAGUUGUAUUUAUCUGUCACCCCUUUUCAGAAUUAGACUCAAGCAUAUAGUUUAGGCAUAUAGGACACCCGACGACAGCAUAGGCAAGACCAGUUUCAAGAAAUAAUAAUCUACUCAUUAGUCAGUGGGAUCCCCCCAGGAACGGUACAAUCCAGACAGGCUGUCAGUCUCAGUGGUCUCAAGAUAAAUAGCUAUGUCACAGAGAGGCUGCUUUCAGCUUUUCACCAUCAACCAACAGAUCACAACCAUAAAAAUCCGAGUUGUAGAAGAAUCACCACUAAAGGAACCAUGACUCAGCUGUCCCAGCCCCACUCAUUAACCCUCAAAAUUGCCAGUUUGUUGUUAUAUUGGUGGGGUCUAUAUAUAUUACAUCAUACUGAGUAACUUUAUGUGUUGGAUCUAUUACAACACUCAGUGUAAAGAACCGUUCAAAAAUAUCGUGUGAAAUCGCUUGUUUAUUGCGUAAAACACAUAACACAUUUCAGCUGUAAUAAGUAAGAUUAACCGCAAUAUCAAUGGUAAUUUUGUUCGAAUGUUUUGUAUUGUUGAUAUGUUGCUAAGAGCCUUGUAACCAAAAAUGUCAUAAAUCAAUAAGAAGUUUGAGACAUUAACAGUUUAGAAAAGAAAAAGGAGUAUAAAUUGCCGACCAUGAGCAGUUCUAGGAUUAAAGGAAGGAAAACCUUACCAGAAUAGCUGAGAGUCACAAGUCAAAUACUGAAACUUUGUAGAAUGGACGGUAACCAGAACACUAUAAAGACCGACAACACCUUACACACACUGAC
rnacentral:lncRNA from 1 species